ACCGGUUCUUGGAGAAGAGGAAAGAUAGGUAGGUUUUCAUCAACUAAUAACAAAUAUCAUGUAAAGGGAAAAAAAAUAAUUCUGCAAUUGAAGUUUUGCUGUGGGUAUACUGAACUAAUUAGGUUAUAAAUCACCUAGGAUAUGAUUGAAAUUGAAAUUGAACUAUUUGUUAUUUUCAGAAUCAACAAGGUGUUCUUUCUUUCGUAUUGAUUCAUUGAAUUUGUUAUUUAUUUUGUAACUUGGCAUUUUACAGGAUCACUGCAAGUGCAAGAGCUCCAUACCAAACAAGUCG
rnacentral:misc_RNA from 1 species